rnacentral:rRNA from 1 species
GACGAACGCUGGCGGCGCGCUCAACACAUGCAAGUCGAGCGAGAACCAGGGCUUCGGCCCUGGGGACAGCGGCGAACGGGUGAGUAACACGUGGAUAACCUGCCCUCGGCACCGGGAUAGCCCGGGGAAACCCGGAUUAAUACCGGAUGGCCCUUCCGGCUCACGAGCCGGUCGGAAAAGGUAGCUUCGGCCUCCGGCCGAGGAUGGGUCCGCGGCGGAUUAGCUUGUUGGUGGGGGAACGGCCCACCAAGGCUCCGAUCCGUAGCUGGUCUGAGAGGACGAUCAGCCUCACUGGGACUGAGACGCGGCCCAGACUCCUACGGGAGGCAGCAGGGGGGAAUCUUGCGCAACGGGCGAAAGCCUGACGCAGCGACGCCGCGUGGGGGAGGAAGGCCUUCGGGUUGUAAACCUCUUUCAGGAGGGACGAAGCUACUCGGGUGAAUAGCCCAGAGGGUGACGGUACCUCCAGAAGAAGCCCCGGCUAACUACGUGCCAGCCGCCGCCGUAA